rnacentral:rRNA from 1 species
UACGGGGGGGGCAAGCGUUGUUCGGAAUUACUGGGCGUAAAGGGCUCGUAGGCGGCCAACUAAGUCGGACGUGAAAUCCCUCGGCUUAACCGGGGAACUGCGUCCGAUACUGGAUGGCUUGAGUUCGGGAGAGGGAUGCGGAAUUCCAGGUGUAGCGGUGAAAUGCGUAGAUAUCUGGAGGAACACCGGUGGCGAAGGCGGCAUCUUGGACCGACACUGACGCUGAGGAGCGAAAGCCAGGGGAGCAAACGGG